UACGGAGGGUGCGAGCGUUAAUCGGAAUUACUGGGCGUAAAGCGUGCGUAGGUGGUUUGUUAAGUCAGAUGUGAAAGCCCUGGGCUCAACCUGGGAACGGCAUUUGAAACUGGCAGACUAGAGUUUAAGAGAGGGGAGUGGAAUUUCAGGUGUAGCGGUGAAAUGCGUAGAGAUCUGAAGGAACACCAGUGGCGAAGGCGACUCCCUGGCUUAAAACUGACGCUGAGGUACGAAAGCGUGGGUAGCAAACAGG
rnacentral:rRNA from 2 species